ACGGAGGGUGCGAGCGUUAUCCGGAAUCACUGGGUUUAAAGGGUGCGUAGGCGGCGAGGUAAGUCAGUUGUGAAAUUCCCCGGCUCAACCGGUGGGACUGCGAUUGAUACUGCUUUGCUUGAAACAGGUUGAGGUAAGCGGAAUGUGGCAUGUAGCGGUGAAAUGCAUAGAUAUGCCAUAGAACACCGAUUGCGAAGGCAGCUUGCUGGGCCUGAUUUGACGCUGAGGCACGAAAGCGUGGGGAGCAAACAGGAUUAGAUACCCUGGUAGUCCACGCCCUAAACGAUGUUUACUUGCUGUUCCUGUCUUGAACGGGAGUGGCGUAGCGAAAGCGAUAAGUAAACCACCUGGGGAGUACGCCGGCAACGGUG
rnacentral:rRNA from 1 species